rnacentral:tRNA from 1 species
GCCGGGGUGGUGAAAUUGGCAUACACGUACGUUUGAGGUGCGUAUGGGGAAACCUGUACGGGUUCAAGUCCCGUCCCCGGCA